rnacentral:rRNA from 1 species
GAUGAACGCUGGCGGCGUGCCUAAUACAUGCAAGUCGAGCGAACAGACGAGGAGCUUGCUCCUCUGACGUUAGCGGCGGACGGGUGAGUAACACGUGGAUAACCUACCUAUAAGACUGGGAUAACUUCGGGAAACCGGAGCUAAUACCGGAUAAUAUAUUGAACCGCAUGGUUCAAUAGUGAAAGACGGUUUUGCUGUCACUUAUAGAUGGAUCCGCGCCGCAUUAGCUAGUUGGUAAGGUAACAGCUUACCAAGGCAACGGUGCGUAGCCGACCUGAGAGGGUGAUCGGCCACACUGGAACUGAGACACGGUCCAGACUCCUACGGGAGGCAGCAGUAGGGAAUCUUCCGCAAUGGGCGAAAGCCUGACGGAGCAACGCCGCGUGAGUGAUGAAGGUCUUCGGAUCGUAAAACUCUGUUAUUAGGGAAGAACAAAUGUGUAAGUAACUAUGCACGUCUUGACGGUACCUAAUCAGAAAGCCACGGCUAACUACGUG